rnacentral:rRNA from 1 species
GUCGANCGGCAGCGCGGGGCAACCUGGCGGCGAGUGGCGAACGGGUGAGUAAUAUAUCGGAACGUACCCUGGAGUGGGGGAUAACGUAGCGAAAGUUACGCUAAUACCGCAUACGAUCUAAGGAUGAAAGUGGGGGAUCGCAAGACCUCAUGCUCCUGGAGCGGCCGAUAUCUGAUUAGCUAGUUGGUGGGGUAAAGGCCUACCAAGGCAUCGAUCAGUAGCUGGUCUGAGAGGACGACCAGCCACACUGGAACUGAGACACGGUCCAGACUCCUACGGGAGGCAGCAGUGGGGAAUUUUGGACAAUGGGCGAAAGCCUGAUCCAGCAAUGCCGCGUGAGUGAAGAAGGCCUUCGGGUUGUAAAGCUCUUUUGUCAGGGAAGAAACGGUGAGAGCUAAUAUCUCUUGCUAAUGACGGUACCUGAAGAAUAAGCACCGGCUAACUACGUGCCAGCAGCCGCGGUAAUACGUAGGGUGCAAGCGUUAAUCGGAAUUACUGGGCGUAAAGCGUGCGCAGGCGGUUUUGUAAGUCUGUCGUGAAAUCCCCGGGCUCAACCUGGGAAUUGCGAUGGAGACUGCAAGGCUAGAAUCUGGCAGAGGGGGGUAGAAUUCCACGUGUAGCAGUGAAAUGCGUAGAGAUGUGGAGGAACACCGAUGGCGAAGGCAGCCCCCUGGGUCAAGAUUGACGCUCAUGCACGAAAGCGUGGGGAGCAAACAGGAUUAGAUACCCUGGUAGUCCACGCCCUAAACGAUGUCUACUAGUUGUCGGGUUUUAAUUAACUUGGUAACGCAGCUAACGCGUGAAGUAGA